UGGGGAAUUUUGGACAAUGGGCGAAAGCCUGAUCCAGCAAUGCCGCGUGUGUGAAGAAGGCCUUCGGGUUGUAAAGCACUUUUGUCCGGAAAGAAAUCCUUGGCUCUAAUACAGUCGGGGGAUGACGGUACCGGAAGAAUAAGCACCGGCUAACUACGUGCCAGCAGCCGCGGUAAUACGUAGGGUGCAAGCGUUAAUCGGAAUUACUGGGCGUAAAGCGUGCGCAGGCGGUUUGCUAAGACCGAUGUGAAAUCCCCGGGCUCAACCUGGGAACUGCAUUGGUGACUGGCAGGCUAGAGUAUGGCAGAGGGGGGUAGAAUUCCACGUGUAGCAGUGAAAUGCGUAGAGAUGUGGAGGAAUACCGAUGGCGAAGGCAGCCCCCUGGGCCAAUACUGACGCUCAUGCACGAAAGCGUGGGGAGCAAACAAGAUUAGAUACCCUGGUAGUCCACGCCCUAAAACGAUGUCAACUAGUUGUUGGGGAUUCAUUUCCUUAGUAACGUAGCUAACGCGUGAAGUUGACCGCCUGGGGAGUACGGUCGCAAGAUUAAAACUCAAAUGAAUUGACGGGGUCAUAGCUGUUUCCU
rnacentral:rRNA from 1 species